UCUCAUCUCAGCCCCUCUGCUUCCCUACUGUGCAAGACUGAAAUGAGAGAACCUGAGUUUAACAGUCCUACAUGUCCUACUUCAUACUCAUGUUGAAAUUCUGAUUUUCACUGUGUUGCUACAAAUUUUUCCUCCACACAUGUGGAAGGAAUGAAAGGAUGGGUAAAAACGGAUCAACACCUGCUCUUCCUCCAUAUUUCAUAAUGGAUGUUGCUGAAAGUCGUGCAAAACUGUUCAAGUCAAUGAGAAUAAAGUGGAUUUAAAGUA